rnacentral:rRNA from 1 species
GGGGAAUAUUGGACAAUGGGCGAAAGCCUGAUCCAGCCAUGCCGCGUGUGUGAGGAAGGUCUUCGGAUUGUAAAGCACUUUAAGUUGGGAGGAAGGGCAGUAAAUUAAUACUUUGCUGUUUUGACGUUACCGACAGAAUAAGCACCGGCUAACUCUGUGCCAGCAGCCGCGGUAAUACAGAGGGUGCAAGCGUUAAUCGGAAUUACUGGGCGUAAAGCGCGCGUAGGUGGUUCGUUAAGUUGGAUGUGAAAUCCCCGGGCUCAACCUGGGAACUGCAUUCAAAACUGACGAGCUAGAGUAUGGUAGAGGGUGGUGGAAUUUCCUGUGUAGCGGUGAAAUGCGUAGAUAUAGGAAGGAACACCAGUGGCGAAGGCGACCACCUGGACUGAUACUGACACUGAGGUGCGAAAGCGUGGGGAGCAAAAGCAGGAUUAGAUACCCUGGUAG